GCAGACACUUGGGAUUAUCAGAUUAAAAGGAAACUCCAGCACCGAGAGGAGGACAGCCACAGCCUGUGACAGCAAUUUUCCUCCCAGGAUGCACUGCGACAGGAGAUGGCCCAGCUUGAGUGUGCCAGGGCCAAAGUCAGAAACAGGACAGCAGAUGCAUUGAGAGAAGGCAUGAGACACAAGACAGAGACAGAAGGGAGCAUCGCUGAGGUCAAAGCUCUACCUGCACUGUGCCACCUAUGCAUAGUUACGGUGAUCCAGGAGGAGGCGGAGGUGAACAGGCCACAAGGGGAGCUGCAGGAAGCGGAAGAGGAGAAGGAGAAGCUGGC